CUAAGGGAUCCUGUGGGGAUGCGUUUGCAAGCAGACCUCCCCCCAGUUCAUUACCGACUGAUUUGACACCUUUUGCUUGUGGGCCUAGUUUCCACUUCUUUGCAGUCUCUCCAUUCUAGGCACAUCCACACCCACCUUUGGUCAGAACACCCCUGGGGUAGGUGCAUCAGGCAGCAGCCUCUCCUCUGUGGUGUCCUCAGCACCUGCCCAGGGCUUUGCUGGACCUGGAACCUUUGGGAGUGGUCCCUUCCCCUCUGGGAAAAAAACAGGCUAAUAAGCAGAAGAAAGAUGUGACAUCACUGGCAGUCAGGUGCCGCUGAGGAGCCAUUUCUAGCAGAAGUGCAAAUUAAAACCACACUAAGGUAUCACCUCACACCAGUCAGGAUGGCCACUAUCUGAAGACAAGAAAUAACAAAUGCUGCUGAGGAUGUGGAGAAAGGAGAACCCUCCUACACUUUGGUGGGAAUGUAAAUUGGCACAGUUGCUGUGGAACACAGUAUGAAGGUUCCUCAAAAAACUAAAAAUAGAAAUACCAUUUGACCCAGUAAUUUACCCCCCCAAAAAAAACAAAAUCCCUGAUUUGGAAAGACAUAUGCACCCCUGUUUAUUGCUGCACUAUUUGCAAUAACUAAGGUAUGGAAGCAACCUAAGUGUCCAUCAAUAAAAUAAAAUAUAGAUAAAUUUAAAUAGACUAAAGGAUAGAUAAAUUUAUCUAAAGGAUAACGAAGAUGUGGUACAUAUACAUAAUGGAAUAUUAUUCAGCCAUAGAAAGAAAAGAAAUACUGCCAUUUCCAACAACAUGGAUGGAUCUAGAAGGUAUUAUGCUCAGGGAAACAAGCCAGACAAAGACAAAUAUUGUAUGUGUUCACUUAUUUGUGGAAUAUAAAAACAAAGCAAAACAGAAGGAAUAAAACAGCAGUAGACUCAGACACUGAGAAGUGACUAAUGGUUACCAAGCUGGUGGGGAAAGAGGCUGAGGGGGAUAAAAGGAUACAAUAAUUCACAAUCACAGUAUAAUUUGGUCAGAAUAGUAAAGCAUGGAGAACAUAGUCAAUGAUUCUGUAACAUUUUUCUAAGUUGAUCAACAGUAAUCACACUAGAGGGGGUAAGGAUUUAAUUAUAUGCAUAACUGUGGAACAACUGUGUUAUAUAUUUGAAACUAAAAGACUGUAUAUCAAUGAUACUUCAAUU